rnacentral:rRNA from 1 species
GAUGAACGCUGGCGGCGUGCCUAAUACAUGCAAGUCGAGCGAACGGACGAGAAGCUUGCUUCUCUGAUGUUAGCGGCGGACGGGUGAGUAACACGUGGAUAACCUACCUAUAAGACUGGGAUAACUUCGGGAAACCGGAGCUAAUACCGGAUAAUAUUUUGAACCGCAUGGUUCAAAAGUGAAAGACGGUCUUGCUGUCACUUAUAGAUGGAUCCGCGCUGCAUUAGCUAGUUGGUAAGGUAACGGCUUACCAAGGCAACGAUGCAUAGCCGACCUGAGAGGGUGAUCGGCCACACGGGAACUGAGACACGGACCAGACUCCUACGGGAGGCAGCAGUAGGGAAUCUUCCGCAAGGGGCGAAAGCCUGACGGAGCAACGCCGCGUGAGUGAUGAAGGUCGUCGGAUCGUAAAACUCUGUUAUUAGGGAAGAACAUAUGUGUAAGGAACUGUGCACAUCUUGACGGUACCUAAUCAGAAAGCCACGGCUAACUACGUG